rnacentral:rRNA from 1 species
GAUUCCCCUAGUAACUGCGAGUGAAGCGGGAAAAGCUCAAAUUUAAAAUCUGUCAGUCUUUGGCUGUCCGAGUUGUAAUCUAGAGAAGUGUUAUCCGCGCUGGACCGUGUACAAGUCUCCUGGAAUGGAGCGUCAUAGAGGGUGAGAAUCCCGUCUUUGACACGGACUGCCAGGGCUUUGUGAUGCGCUCUCAAAGAGUCGAGUUGUUUGGGAAUGCAGCUCAAAAUGGGUGGUAAAUUCCAUCUAAAGCUAAAUAUUGGCGAGAGACCGAUAGCGAACAAGUACCGUGAGGGAAAGAUGAAAAGAACUUUGGAAAGAGAGUUAAACAGUACGUGAAAUUGCUGAAAGGGAAACGCUUGAAGUCAGUCGCGUUGACCAGGGAUCAACCCUUGCUUUUGCUUGGUGUACUUUCUGGUUGACGGGUCAGCAUCAAUUUUGACUAUUGGAAAAAGAUCAGGGGAAUGUGGCAUCUUUGGAUGUGUUAUAGCCUCUGGUUGUAUACAAUGGUUGGGAUUGAGGAACUCAKCACGCGCCGCAAGGCCGGGUUUUUAACCACGUACGUGCUUAGGAUGCUGGCAUAAUGGCUUUAAUCGACCCGUCUUGAAACACGGACCAAGGAGUCUAACAUGCCUGCAAGUGUUUGGGUGGAAAACCCGAGCGCGUAAUGAAAGUGAAAGUUGAGAUCCCUGUCGUGGGGAGCAUCGACGCCCGGACCAGAUCUUUUGUGACGGUUCCGCGGUAGAGCAUGUAUGUUGGGACCCGAAAGAUGGUGAACUAUGCCUGAAUAGGGUGAAGCCAGAGGAAACUCAGGUGRAGGCUCRUAGCGAUUCUGACGUGCAAAUCGAUCGUCAAAUUUGGGUAUAGGGGCGAAAGACUAAUCGAA